CCUACGGGUGGCAGCAGUGAGGAAUAUUGGUCAAUGGGCGCGAGCCUGAACCAGCCAAGUCGCGUGAGGGAGGACGGCCCUACGGGUUGUAAACCUCUUUUGCAGGGGAGCAACGGGCGUCACGUGUGGCGCCACUGAGAGUACCCGGAGACAAAGCAUCGGCUACCUCCGUGCCAGCAGCAGCGGUAAUACGUAGGAUGCGAGCGUUAUCCGGAUUUAUUGGGUUUAAAGGGUGCGUAGGCGGAUCGUUUAGUCAGUGGUCAAAGUUAGGGGCUCAACCCCUUCCCGCCAGUGUAACUGGCGUUCGUGAGUGGAAGAGAAGUAUGCGGAAUGCGUGGUGUAGCGGUGAAAUGCAUAGAUAUCACGCAGAACCCCGAUUGCGAAGGCAGCAUGCCGGCUUCCGACUGACGCUGAAGCACGAAAGCGUGGGGAUCGAACAGGAUUAGAUACCCCAGUAGUC
rnacentral:rRNA from 1 species